rnacentral:rRNA from 1 species
CAGUAGCCGCGGGAAUACGUAGGGUGCGAGCGUUAAUCGGAAUUACUGGGCGUAAAGCGUGCGCAGGCGGUUUUGUAAGACAGGCGUGAAAUCCCCGGGCUCAACCUGGGAAUGGCGCUUGUGACUGCAAAGCUAGAGUGCGACAGAGGGGGAUGGAAUUCCGCGUGUAGCAGUGAAAUGCGUAGAUAUGCGGAGGAACACCGAUGGCGAAGGCAAUCCCCUGGGCCUGCACUGACGCUCAUGCACGAAAGCGUGGGGAGCAAACAGGAUUAGAUACCCCUGUAGUCCCUGUCUCUUAUAC